rnacentral:rRNA from 1 species
AGAGUUUGAUCAUGGCUCAGAACGAACGCUGGCGGCGUGGAUAAGACAUGCAAGUCGUGCGACAGACCAGGAAUUGAUUACUUCGGUUUGAUUUUCCUGACGAUGAGCGGCGAACGGGUGCGUAACACGUGAGAAAUCUGCCCUUAAGUUCGGGAUAGCCCUACGAAAGUAGGAUUAAUACCGGAUAAGGCCCUGGGAGGGCAUCUUCCCUUGGCUAAAGCUCGGUUAUAGAGCGCUUUUGGAUGAUCUCGCGGUCUAUCAGCUUGUUGGUGAGGUAACGGCUCACCAAGGCUAUGACGGAUAGCUGGUCUGAGAGGAUGAUCAGCCUCACUGGAACUGAGACACGGUCCAGACACCUACGGGUGGCAGCAGUCGAGAAUCAUUCACAAUGGGCGAAAGCCUGAUGGUGCGACGCCGCGUGGGGGAUGAAGGGCUUCGGUUCGUAAACCCCUGUCAUCUGUGAGUAAGACUCCCAAUAAAAGCUUGGGAGGUUGAUAUUAGCAGAAGAGGAAGGGACGGCUAACUCUGUGCCAGCAGCCGCGGUAAUACAGAGGUCCCAAGCGUUGUUCGGAUUUACUGGGCGUAAAGAGUGCGUAGGCGGCUAGAAAAGUUUGGUGUGAAAUCUUCGGGCUUAACCCGGAAACUGCACUGAAAACUAUCUGGCUAGAGGA